rnacentral:rRNA from 1 species
UGGGUAACCUGCCCCUGGCUCUGGGAUAACUCCGGGAAACCGGGGCUAAUACCGGAUAUUCACUUUCUCCGGCAUCGGGGUUUGUGGAAAGUUUUUCGGCGAGGGAUGGACCCGCGGCCUAUCAGCUUGUUGGUGGGGUGAUGGCCUACCAAGGCGACGACGGGUAGCCGGCCUGAGAGGGCGACCGGCCACACUGGGACUGAGACACGGCCCAGACUCCUACGGGAGGCG